rnacentral:rRNA from 1 species
ACGGAAGGCAGCAGUGGGGGAUAUUGGACAAUGGGGGAAACCCUGAUCCAGCGACGCCGCGUGAGUGAAGAAGUAUUUCGGUAUGUAAAGCUCUAUCAGCAAGGAAGAAAAUGACGGUACUUGACUAAGAAGCUCCGGCUAAAUACGUGCCAGCAGCCGCGGUAAUACGUAUGGAGCAAGCGUUAUCCGGAUUUACUGGGUGUAAAGGGAGCGUAGACGGCUUUGCAAGUCUGAAGUGAAAGCCCGGGGCUCAACCCCGGAACUGCUUUGGAAACUGUAGAGCUAGAGUACAGGAGAGGUAAGCGGAAUUCCUAGUGUAGCGGUGAAAUGCGUAGAUAUUAGGAGGUACACCAGUGGCGAAGGCGGCUUACUGGACUGUAACUGACACUGAGGUACGAAAGUGUGGGGAGCAAACAGGAUUAGAUACCCUGGUA